CCUACGGGAGGCAGCAGUGAGGAAUAUUGGUCAAUGGGAGGGAUCCUGAACCAGCCAUGUAGCGUGCAGGAUGACGGCCCUACGAGUUGUAAACUGCUUUUGUAAAGGGGUAAAGUGCUGCACGUGUGCGUUUUUGUAUGUACUUUAUGAAUAAGGAUCGGCUAACUCCGUGCCAGCAGCCGCGGUAAUACGGAGGAUCCGAGCGUUAUCCGGAUUUAUUGGGUUUAAAGGGUGCGUAGGUGGGUUUUUAAGUUAGCUGUGAAAUACCGAUGCUCAACAUCGAGAUUGCCGUUGAUACUGGAGGUUUAGAGUACGGAUGCAGCAGGCGGAAUGCGUAGUGUAGCGGUGAAAUGCUUAGAUAUUACACAGAACACCGAUUGCGAAGGCAGCUUGCUAGGCCGGAUCUGACACUGAUGCACGAAAGUGUGGGGAUCGAACAGGAUUAGAUACCCUGGUAGUC
rnacentral:rRNA from 1 species